rnacentral:rRNA from 1 species
CGGCACGCCUAACACAUGCAAGUCGAACGAAGUAGCAAUACUUAGUGGCAGACGGGUGAGUAACAUGUAGGUAUCUGCCCUUUGGCCUGGAAUAACACGAGGAAACUUGUGCUAAUACCGGAUAAGUCUUUACGGAGAAAGCUUUAUGCACCAUUGGAUGAGCCUGCACUUGAUUAGUUUGUUGGUGGGGUAAUGGCCUACCAAGACUGUGAUCAAUAGCUGAUUUGAGAGGAUGAUCAGCCACAUUGGGACUGAGACACGGCCCAAACUCCUACGGGAGGCAGCAGUGGGGAAUCUUGCACAAUGGAGGAAACUCUGAUGCAGCGAUGCCGCGUGAGUGAAGAAGGCCUUUGGGUUGUAAAGCUCUUUCGUCGGGGAAGAAAAUGACUGUACCCGAAUAAGAAGGUCCGGCUA